GUGGGGAAUUUUGGACAAUGGGCGAAAGCCUGAUCCAGCCAUGCCGCGUGCAGGAUGAAGGCCUUCGGGUUGUAAACUGCUUUUGUACGGAACGAAAAGACUCCUUCUAAUAAAGGGGGUCCAUGACGGUACCGUAAGAAUAAGCACCGGCUAACUACGUGCCAGCAGCCGCGGUAAUACGUAGGGUGCAAGCGUUAAUCGGAAUUACUGGGCGUAAAGCGUGCGCAGGCGGGUAUAUAAGACAGAUGUGAAAUCCCCGGGCUCAACCUGGGAACUGCAUUUGUGACUGUAUAGCUAGAGUACGGUAGAGGGGGAUGGAAUUCCGCGUGUAGCAGUGAAAUGCGUAGAUAUGCGGAGGAACACCGAUGGCGAAGGCAAUCCCCUGGACCUGUACUGACGCUCAUGCACGAAAGCGUGGGGAGCAAACAGGAUUAGAAACCCUUGUAGUCC
rnacentral:rRNA from 1 species